GAGCUUGUAUGUCGCUGAAUACUUCACAGUAGGCUACAGGUGAGUGUACAUGUGGAGAAGUUAAUGGCAUUCGGUGACUGCGUUGGGAAAGCAGCUAGAGAUGACCGUGAAGUGAAAUCCUGUGACAACAGUGUGUGAGGCGCGACAUGAAGCGUGCUAAACGUCGACCUUUCUGUGUUUUCAGGUAAAGCAGAGGAGGAAAACCACGCUAUUUGCCAAACCUGCUCCACACAAUGGUAAGUACAUAGUAUUUAAUUAAAAACGUCAGCUUUUAGUGCUAUAUAAUGCAUUAUAUACUGAAUAUGUGUCGAAUUAUCUGCUGUUUUGAGUCGAAUUGAUCGCUGAUUCGGAGUUAGUGUUGCUACAUCAUUCAUGCUGACUUAAAGUCUAGAAUUGAUGGCGUAUUCAGAUUUAUUAGUAGCGAAAACCGUUUUAAAAUCUCAAUAUAGGUAGUUUUUUAACGCUAAUGUGCUUGAUUUUGGAUCUGCGUUUUCAGGUCAAGCAAAGCAGAGGGGGGAUCCAUGCUAUUUGUCAGUCCAGCUGCACACAAGUGAUGUAUAUGUGCUGCCGAAGCAAGCACGAAGUAAGCGCCCGGACGUCUGCUAUAUAUCCCAGGGACUUCUGGGUAUGUUUCUGCCAAGUGCAGAUCUUUUGUCCUCGCGUCCUUCUCCUUCCCCCACAUGCAUGCGCAGACCUUCCCCCGCCGCAGACCAGAGGACAACACACUCCGACACCAGCAAACAGCCGGGCGAAACAUUCACAGACACUCGGAGGCUAAGAAGAUCUAAACUCCGUGAUAGCUAAGAUCAAACUAUUUCAUAACUGUAACAAGAGGCGAUUCCAUCAUAACGUAAUGUUGAAAUGGAUAGCAUAACAUUAUUCAUCAAUGUGUGACUCUUUUUUUUUUGGGUUCUCGGAAGCUGUAGAAAGUAAAAAUGUACAACAGGAAAUGCGCUGGGACCGUUGCUUUUGUUUACAUCCCUCAAAAUAGUCUAUAGCGUAGUCACGAAGUGUUUUAAACGGAGUUUAGGUGCUCUGUAUUGAGUCGUGAUGAUGUAUAUCGUCGCCUUACAAUUAUAAGGUUCUAUCUGACAUUUUUGUCAAAAUUGAGUUAUUGACAUAUUAUAUAUGACAUAUUAUAUGACAUAUUCUUAUUAAAUGACAACUUAUUUACAUUGUGAUGUGUUUUUAUAUAUAUAUUUUAUUUACAUUUUAAGACGUUUUAUUUAAAAAAUAAAAACGGUUUAUCUACAAAAUUGAAUUCUAGCUUGGUUCUAUAAGGUUCUUUCUGUGAGCCAAUCAGCAUUUUUAAUGCACGCACGAGGACCAAUCAGGAUCAGCUUUUUUUGUUGUCACAUGCCGCACUGCUCCAUUGACAGCGGGAAACACCAGGAAGAAACCCAAAAAUCAUACAAAAUCGGAGUUGGCUAAAAAAACGCCACAGCAGACAAAUUGAGAUGUGAUGAUUUAGAAGCUUUUUUUGACAUUGAGAUUAAAUGUAAAAUUUUACACUGUUGAAAUAGAAACGAAAUAUUUUAAAAAAUUACAUAUUAAAUGUGAAAUAUUUUUGUGUGUGUGUGUAUGUAUAUGUAUAUUUAUAUAUAUUUAUAUAUAUAUUAUAUAUAUAUAUAUAUAUAUAUAUAUAU
rnacentral:lncRNA from 1 species